rnacentral:lncRNA from 1 species
UUUUUUUUUUUUUUUUUUGGAUAGAGUCUCUCUGACCCGGACCUGGAAGUUGCUGGAACUACAAGCCUGUGUCAGCAUGCCCGGCUAAUUUUUGUAUUUUUAUUAGAGAUGAGGUUUCUCCGUGUUGGCCAGGAGGGUCUCAAACUCCUGACCUCAAGUGAUCCACAAACUUCGGCCUCCCUAAUUGCUGGGAUUACAGGCAUGAGCCAUGUGCCCUGCCUGAUCUCUAACUUGUAAUUAGCCCCAGUGUUCUGUCUAUAAUGGAACACAACAGAGGUGAUACCAAGUCGAUAGGCUCAUUUGGCAUCAGCUUUUCUGCAAAGAGCUUUUAGGUCAAUGGAAGGACAUUCCACAAUGAAACAAAACUGAAUUUUGUGUGAUAAAAUUAUGCUGCUUACAAAGAGACUUAACAAUAAAUAAGCUUAAAGACAGGUAUUUUUGUUUCAUGGAACAAAUCCAUUGUGAUUAGUCCAGCUUUGUGAAGCAGCUCUGCUCCUUGUGAUCAAUCAGGAAAUUUCGUUCCUUCCAAGUCAAUGUUCUAUCAUCUCCUAGGGCCUAAUGGUCUCUGCUUGCUCAAAACAAAAUCAAUACCAUUAUAGCUGGGGAAGAAGGUAACAUGAAAGUUUCAAAGCCCAGACCUGGUAGUAACUUUUCUGUGUCUCACCUGUGUUAGAAAUAAUGUAGCCACAUGCUUACAUCUGCUCCCAGAAAGACCAGGAAAUGUUGCCUCUUGCUAGACAGCCACCUGUCCAGCUUUCUUUUUAUUAUGAUAAAGUGAAAAAAACUUUAUUGGAAAAAUGAGGGUUUAUGCAAUAUUCUCCACAAACUAAAAUCCAUUUUGAGGACAGUGAAUAAUAGUGUCAUACUGAUAGUCCUGAGAUUGUAAUUUUACAGUGAUUAAGAACAAGGACUGGAGUAACCCACUAGAGAAUGGCAUACUUAUUUUUGUCUCAUUUCCUGAGGUGUAGAGGGAAAGAAGGUGGGAAUUUAAUCAUGAUAACCUCGGUUUUAAAUGCCCACUCAUGCAACCACAGUGGUCUGAUCUAUGAUUUAAGGUAAAAUGACUUGUGUUAAUAAUAAAGUCUAAAACUAUUUAAGAUAAAAGGCCAACAACAACAACAACAAAAACUCGAUCAACAUACCUUUAAAUUGGCCGCGGGUACAUUAAUAAAAAGUCCUUUUAAAUUCAACAAUAGAAAAUCAGUAGCUCCGGAUGGAAGGCAGCUCAGAGGAACACAGCUAAACAAGUUGGCCUCUUCCCAUUCCACUGAAAAAUGUUGAGAGAAUCUUAUAUACUUUCAUGGUUGUUUCUCCCACGGUAAUUACUACUUUCUUCUUUAAAGAUUGUAUUUGCCAGUUAAGUGCCUCCCACACACCUCCUAUCCCCCUAUACCCAUAACCAUGUGAACGCCAUUUUGUCUUCCUUUCAUAUAACAAUGCCUUGGUAGGAACUAGUACCUACCUCCAUUUUUUUCCCUAUUCUUCACAGCAGAAUCAGCCUUUACCACUUGCCUUCUGUGAUACAGGUUUUGUUACCUUGUUUUUCCAACAGCUAGUCUUUGCUACUUUCUUUCUCUGAUAGCCAUGCAGAAUGCUAGCGGCAGUUUGCCAUCAGUCUCCUUACAGUAAUACAGAAAACACAGGCCAUGCGUGGUGGCUCACGCUUGUAAUCCCAGCACUUUCGGAUGCCGAGGGGCAAUCUCUUUGAGCUUGAAUUCAAGACGAGCCUGGGC